ensembl:lncRNA
CACAUGUAAAAAGGAGCCCUGUCUGAUGCUCUCCAUCUUUAUAUGUGACCUUAACACCAACAAGAUUAAAAACAUGUCUGGGAGAAAAUGGGGUGGCCCGAUGAUGCUGGGAGGAGUUAUUUUUGGGAAUGAAGCCACUGCAAAUGAUACAAACACUGCAGACUUCUUUUCAAGCUUAUGAAACGAAGCACCACAGGCUGCUUCUCUCUCAGACUUGCUUCAUUUGCCUGAGUGGGUUGCAGCAUCCAGUAGAGGAGAGCAGCCUCAGUGACGAGGGGGGGAGUGGAGCCCUUGUUCUGGCAGACGUGUCAGAACUUUUAGAGGAUACGGGAGUGGUAUCCUUGGUCAGUGGAAAUGUUCUUUCCUUCCCUAUUCAUUUAUUUUUCUUUUAGUCUCUUUUAGAAGUAAGAUCUAUUAAAGAUGAGUUUUUAUUGAAUUAAGAGUUGAAUGUGACGAGUGCCAACUUUUAUUGUUUUGGGCCAACCUUCACUGUUUCGGGCCAGUGUUAUAUCUCCACGUUGAUUAGUAGUGCUGACCCUGUGAGGCCUCGUACAGUUGAAAAGCAGUAGUUUGUUACCAGAGUAAAUAAAUUUAGCUGAGGAACAAGAUUUGAGGGUUCUCUUUGAAGUGUAGUGUUUAUGCAUGUAUUGAAUUAUUUUAAUUAUAUUUUGUUUUGGAGUGUUUUGUUUGAUUUGGGCCCCUAAUCCUUGUAAAUUUUUUUUUUUUUUUUUAUUCUAUGGUUGUACUGCUGAUUUUCCAUAUUUUCCAGCCACUGAUCCUUAAAGGUGUCAUGUGGUAACGGUCAGUUCUGGUUUUGGCAUGUUACUACUCUGUGUUGUAAAUUUUUGAGUUUUGAGAUUUUCUUUUAAAUAAAUAAUAUUUUGUGAAACAGUCAUUUUCCUAAUUCACCUCUGGUAAUCCACCAAAUUCCCUUGCCAAACCUGAGUGGGAACUAAUGGGAUUGGGCAACUAUCUACAACCUCUAGGUGGUGUGGUAGCCUAUGUUUAACUAUUUUGGGACCGUUUAAGGGAGGUGUUUCGUAGGCCUAGUGGAUGGGGCCUACAUAAAGAUCCUGUUUACUUUCACUGACAACUUCCCACUGUAUUGAGAAUUGUUUGAUUUGAACAUAUGGUAAGGUAAUAAAUCUGCCCCGAGACUAAUGACAGUGUUCUGCAAGUGCUACAA